rnacentral:lncRNA from 1 species
AAAAGAGAUGUUAUUCUCUGUUCUGCAACUUUUUAUCUAAAAAUGUAAAGUUCAUAGCCUUAAAAAUAGGCUAUCCUGUAUAUUUCAGGUUAUAGGCAGCAUCCUUUGGCGAAAGGUGCAGAGCCAGGAUGACUAAGCACAGGUGACACAGGACAAAGGUGAAAGUAAAGCUAAAGGAAAAGGAACACAUCUAAUAUGGAGUUGGGUUUGUUGUUCCCUACUACAGUGUCACCACUGGUUCCCCUGCAGUCACAGUACAUGUUUGGGGGCAGAGUGUGGAGGAGUGUGGUGACGGAGCGGCAGCAGGCAAAGAGACUGACUCUGCUGAGCAAUUAGAAUGGAAAUGUCUUGUUAUCAUUUUUGAUUUUGUGAAUGUGUGUUUGUGUGUGUGUGAGAGAGAUUGAGAGUGUGUGUGUAUUACAUUUUAAACAAGGGAGCCAGGUGAUGUUUACUUGUUUCAGAUGAGAUUUUUUUCUGCGAUAAUGAGAAAUUCACAUGACUGUAAACAGUGCUAGACUCCAGACACAGGUUCAAACUGUUGAAGCGGGACAUCCAGGGAGCCAUCCUCUUAAUAAGAGAAGCAACCACUAGUCACAGGCACCGUGCAGCCCCACUAAGCCCCUACCGGUUAGGAAGUGCCUGAUUCUGUAAAAGGACCACAGUGUCCUCAGUGUGUUGCAAGCCUGGUCCUACGUUGAAUGGUGGAUGAAGACGCAGGACACUUCGUCCUUCUGAUUGCUGAUGUCUUUUGUUGUGAUGAAGAUGCAUACAAGAUGAGUGCAAAUGACAAUCCUAUCCCAGACCACAAACCCAGGUUGGAAGAAUUUACAGAGAUUGAUGCUCUGGCCAUCGCUGGAGAAACUGACUUAAUGAACGGAAGGGCCUAGCAGUUGACAAGUUUAUUUAGGAUUGUUGAAAUAUACCAAGGCUUAUGUUUUACAGAUCCUCUUUAGCCACUUAUUCUGUUGCAAUGAUCCCUGCUAACGUCAAAUCCUCCUGGGCAUUAGCAGAGCUGCCACCACCACGUGUUUUGGUUUUAUAACAAGGUCAGGGAAACUAAAAUAUCUGUGCCAUUUAAGGCUUUUAUUGAGGAACUAGGCUGUCUGCUCACAACUCUUUUUCCCCCUUCAUGUCAGCAGUAUUCAAUGAGUUCUGUUGAGUCCUUAUCGUAAUAAUAAUAGCUGACAUAAACAGAUCCUCCAAGAAACCUGAGUAUUGGCUCAAUCAAGUCAGGAUUGAAAAACUCUUAAAAAUCAUUGCUCCUUUGAUGCUUAAACUCCCCUACUCCCUGACCCUCUCCUAAAUAUUCUGGCAACUGCCCACUUUCAUCUAUACGGUUCAGACAAAAGCAUUCACGUUUAUACAGAUCUGGUGGUUCUGGAAUGAGUACCUGGCUCAAGCAGUUUCUGAGAAUGUGGCAUUGGGACCAAGAGAUAAAGUCAUUAAUCACUGGAUAACAAACUAUACAAAAUUAUACUUAUGUUGUGAGUCUAUAUUUUACUUCUUGAGUCUCAACUGGCAAUUAUAUAGUGCUUGCCCUCAGUACUCUCCUGGUACCUGGACACCAGAAAGGUCAUUCAUGGGUCGCUUUCCCUCUUUGUCUCUGGUAAAUUGUUUUGGUUAAACUCAACAGGAACCAUGAUUUUGUCCUCAGCCAGGGCCAUUGUAUCAUCGUAACUGCUCACAAGGUUCUUUUUGUCACUGAGGAUUGUAGGACAUUUAUGAAUAAUCCCACAAUAAUUAGUUCCCUUCAUCUAAACACCAGCUAUUGUUUUAGUUUGGAUCUUUGAGUCAUAAAAUUUUUCUUGCUAUUUUUUUCUCAAUGUACCCUAUAUUCCUAUUUCCUGAGCAUUAUCAUCUGUGGUCUAGUCUGUUUCAAAAAGUGGU